GUAGUUGCCUCGAGUUAAGGAGUGAGUGGGGAUAUUAGUUAAAUGAGACCAGGCGAUGAACAUGCCGAUAAAUAAUAUUAAUUGCCAGUACGACCCACACUGAAGACGCAAGGGUAAGCGGCAAACUGGUUUUCUACUAUAGGAGAAGGCAGAAGGGUUUUCCCAAAGUGUUGCGAGGGUUUAAUCAAUACCCACGUAAUCGUCCAACGUGUGCUAGAGAAGACCAAGCGGGUCUUGUGGUUACAGGAAACUCCUUCACCUCCUCGCCACACUGGUUUCGCUGGCCUAAGUCUUGUCAAUUUCCAAAUUCCUAUAGAUGAUAUAGUACCUUGUAAUAGUGUGGUCUAAAAUUCCUGCAGUGAAAUGCGACACCCAAGUGCAUUCAAAAAAAUGCGCACUUUACUCGACUACGUGGAACCUUAGUCAGAAAACCUAUCAGCAAUCUAAGUCAAAGCGGGAAACAUUUUUUGUGAAUAAAAAAUUGGACGGAGUGUUAAUUCGAUGGAGUGGCGGGGAGAGGGGAGACUAGUCACACUCUGGAAAUGUGAACAAAUUCUUUCUCCAUCUUCACACAAUAUACAAGACCUUGGGAGGGAUGCAGAGGAGAGGAAAAAAAUCAAGAACAACACCGAUUCUGAAAACGUGCUGAUCAUGCGAGUCGUGUCGAAAGUUAGACAAGGAAAGCGGGGGAAAAUCAAUCAGACACUCGCCAUCUGACAUCCCGCCUGGUGGAAGUGAAUUAAUUAACGCGGAACGGUCGAGGAACAGUAAACUGGUGAAAUACCACGGUACAAUACAUAAAAUAAGCAAAGGUUGUAAGCAUAUGAUAAUGAAUUAAUGGUAUGCUUCCGAACGGCUCGAAAAAAUGCUGAAUUCUUUGCAUAUACUAUCAUUUCUUGAAAAAUCACUCUUUCAACUUCAAUUUUUGCAUUAACGAUGUGUCGAAUUGAAAAUUUCGUUGAAAAUUAUGAAAAAUUUCCCAUGAUAAAGGCUCUAAGUUGGAAAUGCCUUCAUUAUUUUACUUUGAAAAUUGUUUUCAAAAAAAAAAUUAAAAUAUCUCGAAUACUAAGUAUGGAAGAGUAUACAUAUCCUGAUGGGUUACGAUACAGUACAUCGAGAUAAAUAUUUUGAGAGAUGAAAAAUUGAAAUCUGUUGGAUAGUUUUCGAAAUAUUUGCGACAAAGUAUUCAGGACGGAAUGACAAUUUAUGAAAAAUGGCUAGCUCAAUCAAGGGGAGUUUUGGAACAGACUUAGUGCUUAGUAAUACGCAUAAUUCUACAUAAUUUUCAAGGAAAAUCAGAAAAUCCGAAAAUCGGACGAAAUGUCGUAUAUUUGUGUUCUAUGGUACACUCAAUUUUCUUUAAAUACUUUCAAAAUUCUAUUCAGAUGAAAAUCUGAAAAUAUAGACAAAAAAAUGCAAUAACGUAUAUUCCGUACUUGGACUUACUAUAUUCGAUUUAGCAUAUUCAUAAUAAAUAUUAG